rnacentral:rRNA from 1 species
GACGAACGCUGGCGGCGUGCUUAACACAUGCAAGUCGAACGAAGAGCGAUGGAAGCUUGCUUCUAUCACUCUUAGUGGCGAACGGGUGAGUAACGCGUAAUCAACCUGCCCUUCAGAGGGGGACAACAGUUGGAAACGACUGCUAAUACCGCAUACGAUCUAAUCUCGGCAUCGAGGAUAGAUGAAAGGUGGCCUCUACAUGUAAGCUAUCACUGAAGGAGGGGAUUGCGUCUGAUUAGCUAGUUGGAGGGGUAACGGCCCACCAAGGCGAUGAUCAGUAGCCGGUCUGAGAGGAUGAACGGCCACAUUGGGACUGAGACACGGCCCAGACUCCUACGGGAGGCAGCAGUGGGGAAUCUUCCGCAAUGGACGAAAGUCUGACGGAGCAACGCCGCGUGAGUGAUGACGGCCUUCGGGUUGUAAAGCUCUGUUAAUCGGGACGAAAGGCCUUCUUGCGAAUAGUGAGAAGGAUUGACGGUACCGGAAUAGAAAGCCACGGCUAACUACGUG